rnacentral:lncRNA from 1 species
CAGACAAAGCAGACUAAGAAGGAAGGAGGCUGGAGAAGUUGUGGGUAAGGGCACAACGGGGUUGCCCUGCAGCAGAAGCUCUUACCUGUUGGAGGGAGGAGCUGGGGACAAAGCACCAUAGACUGGGUGGCUUCGACAACAGGAAUUUGCUUCUCACAGUUCUGAAGUCUCCAAGUCUAAGAUCAAGGUGUCCAUGGGAUUGGUUUGCUCUCUCUUUGGUUUGUAGAUGGCCAUCCUCUCCCUCCGUCCUCACACAGCAUUUCCUCCGUGUGUAUCUGUGUCCUGAUCUCUUCUUACAAGGACACCUUUUAUGUUGGGUUAGGGUCCAUGGAAUGACCCCAUUUCACCUUAAUUAUCUCUUUGAAGGCCCUAGUUCCAAAUACAGUCACAUUCUGAGCUCCUGGAAGUUGGGACUUCAGCCUAUGAAUUUUUGGAGGACACAAACCAGUCAACAGCCAGGAGUGUCCGAGGAGGCCCUAGAGGCAAAGGUGGGAUCCUGGGGGCCAGAACGCCCAGCACUAUAGCAAGCACUUGGUGGCUUUUCAAUAAAAUGUUUCUUGAAGGAGUGAAUGAAUGGGCAUGUUGACAGAGAAAGAAAAGGAAUCUCCUUCUUGCUACAUUUUUUAUGGACAGAGGACAGUCCUUCCGGUAAAGGUUGGUUCUCUUUGGAUCAGACAGGUGAGGAGUAGGUCCAAACUCCAUCGUGGGCUCCAACCAUCUGUACUCAAACCCCAAGAAGCAAGGCCCAGAUCCCAGAGCUCUCCAAAGACCGAAGGGAGGUCACACAGCCUGGGAGGAAAUAACGUAUUGGGGCAGAGCCAUAGAGAAGAGAAUGCAAAGUCAAGAUUAACACAUCUAAUGAGACGUAAGACGUCAGCUAGUUUCCACACCCAUGUAUUGUCACUAUUCACUCAUACGUUACCAUCUUGUGGUGGCAUCUUCCAGUGCAUUUCUAUAUUUGUGAUGUUUUAUAGAGUGGGGCUCCCAAAGAGAAAGCCCUGGGGGUCCCGGGGGGGUGGGGGUCUUAGAUUGGUCCUGCCUGUUAGCUUUCCAGCUGCGGAGGGAGUUCUAGAUGGAGACGCGGCCAAGGCCCUGCCCUCCACCCCAGAGGUCACCUCCAGAGAAGGAACUGCCAUCCCAGCCAGUGGCCACGAAGGCUUGAGGGGAGAUGCUUCUGAAGUGAAGGGCUCCGCAGCCGGCUCUAGAUGA